UAUUGCACAAUGGGGGAAACCCUGAUGCAGCGACGCCGCGUGAGCGAAGAAGUAUUUCGGUAUGCAAAGCUCUAUCAGCUGGGAAGAAGAAAUGACGGUACCUGACUAAGAAGCACCGGCUAAAUACGUGCCAGCAGCCGCGGUAAUACGUAUGGUGCAAGCGUUAUCCGGAUUUACUGGGUGUAAAGGGAGCGCAGGCGGAAGGCUAAGUCUGAUGUGAAAGCCCGGGGCUCAACCCCGGUACUGCAUUGGAAACUGGUCAUCUAGAGUGUCGGAGGGGUAAGUGGAAUUCCUAGUGUAGCGGUGAAAUGCGUAGAUAUUAGGAGGAACACCAGUGGUGAAGGCGGCUUACUGGACGAUAACUGACGCUGAGGCUCGAAAGCGUGGGGAGCAAACAGG
rnacentral:rRNA from 1 species